rnacentral:lncRNA from 1 species
GUGAGUGGAACUGUAUGUUUUUUUGCAGCUCAUAUGCUGUUAUUAGCCAUCUCUUUGAAAAUAACUUAUGUGUGUGAAACAUUGUUGCAUUUAAACUUUAGAUCACCGGUUACUUUUUGUGCUAAAUGUGACUUUUUGUUUUUCAAUGGGAAGUAAAUGUUUCAAUAUUUCGAUCGGGAAAUGCAUAGCCUAAUGAUUGUGUCUUUGUAUUCUUAUGAUUGGAAUCUACUGGCUUUUGUCCGAGUGAAUGGACUGCUGUCUUUCCAUCGGCUCUAUGCAGUGGUGUAGUGGUGCCUGGAGAAGUGGGUCCUGUGUGAAGGAAAGCUCCUGUCUUUUCCCAGCCUCUCUUUUCCUCGCCCUCCUGGUUCGUGACCCUUGCCUGUCCUGACCCUGUACCUGCCCACUUGAACUCUGCCUGAGCCUACCUGCCGUCCUGUACCUUUGCUCCACCUCUGGAUUACUGAACUCUGCCUGUCCCUGAGCCUGCCUGCCGUCCUGUACCUUUGCUCCACCUCUGGAUUACUGAACUCUGCCUGUCCCUGAGCCUGCCCUCCUAGGGACAGCAUGGAAGAGCACCAGUAAGCCAGAACUCUGCCUGUCUCUGAGCCUGCCUGCCGUCCUGUACCUUUGCUCCCACUCCGGAUUAUCGACCCCUGCCUGCCUUGACCUGUCGUUGCCUGCCCCGGUGGUUACAGUAAACAUUGUUACUUCACACAGUCUGGACUUGGGUUUUACCUUGAUUCUUGAUAGCUUGUAAUGUCAGGGUCGUGGGUUCGAUUCCCGGAACCACCCAUAAGUCAGUGAAAUCGAGGGAAGUGAUGUGGAGUCAGGGCUCAGCAGCAUAAGGCAGAGAGGAAGAGGAGUUGGAGAUGAUUGGAGGGAUGGAGAUGUGAGGG